rfam:Pan troglodytes isolate Yerkes chimp pedigree #C0471 (Clint) chromosome 22, whole genome shotgun sequence.
GCCGGGCGUGGUGGCGGGCUCCUGUAGUCCCAGCCACUCAGGAGGCUGAGGCAGGAGAAUGGCGUGAACCCGGGAGGCGGAGGUUGCAGUGAGCGGAGAUCGCGCCACAGCACUCCAGCCUGGGCGAAGAGCGAGACUCCGUCUCAAAAAAAAAAAAAUUAUUAAUUAUUUAUUUUAUUUUGAGAUGGACUCUCACUCUGACACCCAGGUUGGAGUGCAAUGGCGUGAUCUCGGCUCACUGCAACCUCCACCUCCUGGGUUCGAGCGAUUCUCCCGCCUCAG